AUUGAACGCUGGCGGCAGGCCUAACACAUGCAAGUCGAGCGGUAGAGAGGUGCUUGCACCUCUUGAGAGCGGCGGACGGGUGAGUAAUGCCUAGGAAUCUGCCUGGUAGUGGGGGAUAACGCUCGGAAACGGACGCUAAUACCGCAUACGUCCUACGGGAGAAAGCAGGGGACCUUCGGGCCUUGCGCUAUCAGAUGAGCCUAGGUCGGAUUAGCUAGUUGGUGAGGUAAUGGCUCACCAAGGCGACGAUCCGUAACUGGUCUGAGAGGAUGAUCAGUCACACUGGAACUGAGACACGGUCCAGACUCCUACGGGAGGCAGCAGUGGGGAAUAUUGGACAAUGGGCGAAAGCCUGAUCCAGCCAUGCCGCGUGUGUGAAGAAGGUCUUCGGAUUGUAAAGCACUUUAAGUUGGGAGGAAGGGCAGUUACCUAAUACGUAUCUGUUUUGACGUUACCGACAGAAUAAGCACCGGCU
rnacentral:rRNA from 2 species